rnacentral:rRNA from 1 species
AGAAUCAACGCUGGCGGCGUGCCUAACACAUGCAAGUCGAACGAGAAAGUGGAGCAAUCCAUGAGUAAAGUGGCGCACGGGUGAGUAACACGUGACUAACCUACCUUUUAGUGGGGGAUAACCUAGGGAAACCUGGGCUAAUACCGCAUAAUACCUACGGGUCAAAGCAGCAAUGCGCUGAAAGAGGGGGUCGCGGCCGAUUAGCUAGUUGGCGGGGUAAUGGCCCACCAAGGCAGUGAUCGGUAUCCGGCCUGAGAGGGCGCACGGACACACUGGAACUGAAACACGGUCCAGACUCCUACGGGAGGCAGCAGUGGGGAAUUUUGCGCAAUGGGGGAAACCCUGACGCAGCAACGCCGCGUGGAGGAUGAAGUCCCUUGGGACGUAAACUCCUUUCGAUCGGGACGAUAAUGACGGUACCGGAAGAAGAAGCCCGGCUAACUUCGCGCCAGCAGCCGC